UAAAUACCGAACAUUAAGAGUGCCCGGAGUUUGUACGUCCGGGAUAAUAGGGAAACCGGUGAAAGUCCGGUGCAGCCCCCGCUACUGUAAGCGUGAUGAAAUUGUCUGAUUACCCACUGGAUUUGUCCGGGAAGGGAGACGAAAGUAAAAUGACCGCAAGCCAGGAGACCUGCUUUUAAUGCCGAUACAUC
rnacentral:ncRNA from 1 species